AAUACCUUUCACAAUUUUCUUUUUCAGAAAUAAUGCAUAUCCCAGACAAAAUUGAUAAAGAAUAAAUUAAUUUGCUUUUUAUUUCAAAUCUUUUGGGUUUGGGUUUAUUACUUGAGUAAAAAAAAAAUCCGUAUUUUUCCCGGACCGGUUUUUACUUUUAUCGGAUCAAAGUGUACUUCAUGUUUGACGUCACUGCUGCAGCAGAAGUGCUGGGUGUUGGAAAAAUCCAAGAAGCCCAAAGCUGAUAAGACUGGCGAUUGAUUCAAAAGCUGAUUGUGACAGACGAUUGCAUCAUCACAAUAUUAAAGAGACCAUUCUGUGCCACAAAGAAAUUGUUCAGGAAGGGGAGAACUGGUGGAUUUGCAUUUUUGGUACAGUUCAAAGAGAUUUUCAGAAUGGUCAAAUCAGAGGGAGGACGAAACUGAACAUAUUGAAAAGAUACAGAAGGAAAAAGAACCUGGAAAUAUAUGGAAUAAUUAUGAAAUGUGGAGGAUGUACACAAUCUUGUCUGAAUUUGACCUGUAAAGAUUUCCCAUUCUUAUUUGUA